rnacentral:rRNA from 1 species
AUUGAACGCUGGCGGCAUGCCUAACACAUGCAAGUCGAACGGCAGCACGGCAGUAGCAAUACUGUGGGUGGCGAGUGGCGGACGGGUGAGGAAUACGUCGGAAUCUGCCCAGUCGUGGGGGAUAACUAGCCGAAAGGUUAGCUAAUACCGCAUACGACCGAGAGGUGAAAGCGGGGGACCGCAAGGCCUCGCGCGAUUGGAUGAGCCGACGUCGGAUUAGCUAGUUGGUGGGUAAAGGCCCACCAAGGCGACGAUCCGUAGCUGGUCUGAGAGGAUGAUCAGCCACACUGGAACUGAGACACGGUCCAGACUCCUACGGGAGGCAGCAGUGGGGAAUAUUGGACAAUGGGCGCAAGCCUGAUCCAGCAAUGCCGCGUGUGUGAAGAAGGCC